rnacentral:lncRNA from 1 species
AAAAAUGAUUCAUCCACAGUGAAGCCACAUGACAGCACAUUGUUGACGCCUCAAACUGCAAUGCAACCUGUUCACGAAUCAACUAGUGACCGAUCAAAUACAACUGACUCAAAGAAGUCGCAGGUUUGUAACUCCAAGCAACUAAAGAUACAUGCUUUCAAUCGGAUUUUAUGACUUUUUGUUUCUCUAGUAACAUGUUCUCUCAUGAUUUGUGGAAUCAAAAUUGUAAUUAAAAUUAAAACGAUUUGACUGAUGCUUACAUUUCAUAUAACAGAAACAAUGUAUGCCUCCAGAGAAGUCCACCGAGGAAGCCAACAUCGUACUGACUGAGCAAGCUGAAGAAAUUGGAGAUUUAUCACAAAAAGUGAGAGAAGCAACUUCGGAAUUGAAAAAACAAGCUGAGGAAAUUGGAAAAGUAUAUGAAAAAGCAAAAGAAGCUGCUGCAGAACUUAAAAAACCAGCUGAAGAAACAGGAAUUUUGUCACAAAAGGCAACGGAGGAGGCUACUUUAGACUUGAAAAAAUCAGCCGAAGAAAUUGGGAGCGCGACACAAAAAGCAAGAGAGGUUGUUGCUGAGUUGAAAAAGCCAACUGAAGAAAUUGUAAAUGUGUCACAAAGGGCAACAGAAGCUGCUGCAGAAUUGAUAAAACCAGCUGAAGCAAUCAAACAUAGUUCGGAAAAGGCCACAAAGGUUGAUGCAGAUUUGAAGCAACCAGUUGAAGCUACAUCCAAUGAAUCACAAAAAGCAACAAAAGCUGCUACGCAGUCGAAAAUACCUGUUGAGGAAGUUGAAGAUGUAUCGGCAAAAGCAACAAAGGUUGGUGCAGACAUAAACAAACCUGUUGAAAAAAUAGGAAAUAUAUCACAAAAAACAACAGAAGCUGCUUUAGAAUUGAAAAAACCGAGCGAUGAAAUUGGAAGUGCAUCAACAAAAGAAGCCAGGGCUCCUGCAGAGGUGAAAAAACCGGCUCAAGAAAUUGGAAAUGUGUCACAAAAAGCAACAGAGGUUCCGGUGCAACUGAAAAUACCAUCUGAAGAAGUUGGAAGUAUAUCUCAGAAAGCAAGUGAUGCUCCUGCAAAAUUGAAACAUC